UAGGGAAUCUUCCGCAAUGGGCGAAAGCCUGACGGAGCAACGCCGCGUGAGUGAUGAAGGUCUUCGGAUCGUAAAACUCUGUUAUUAGGGAAUAACAAAUGUGUAAGUAACUAUGCACGUCUUGACGGUACCUAAUCAGAAAGCCACGGCUAACUACGUGCCAGCAGCCGCGGUAAUACGUAGGUGGCAAGCGUUAUCCGGAAAUAUUGGGCGUAAAGCGCGCGUAGGCGGUUUUUUAAGUCUGAUGUGAAAGCCCACGGCUCAACCGUGGAGGGGCAUUGGAAACUGGAAAACUUGAGUGCAGAAGAGGAAAGUGGAAUUCCAUGUGUAGCGGUGAAAUGCGCAGAGAUAUGGAGGAAAACCAGUGGCGAAGACGACUUUCUGGUCUGUAACUGACGCUGAUGUGCGAAAGCGUGGGGAUCAAACAGG
rnacentral:rRNA from 1 species